GACGAACGCUGGCGGCGUGCCUAAUACAUGCAAGUCGAACGCAGUGGGGACGGGUGAGUAACACGUGGGUAACCUCCCAUCAGAGGGGAUACCACUUGGCAACAGGUGCUAAACCGAUACUGAUGGAUGGUCCCGUGGUGCAUUAGCAAGGUGGUGAGGUAACGGCUCACCAAGGCCACGAUCAGUAGCCGACCUGGGAGGGUGAUCGGCCACACUGGGACUGAGACACGGCCCAGACUCCUACGGGAGGCAGCAGUAGGGAAUAUUGGGCAAUGGACGAAAGUCUGAUCGAGCAACGCCGCGUGAGUGAAGAAGGUGUUCGGAUCGUAAAGCUCUUUUGGUAGAGAAGCGGUAUCUAACCAGAAAGCCACGGCUAACUACGUGCCAGCAGCCGCGGUAAUUC
rnacentral:rRNA from 1 species